rnacentral:rRNA from 1 species
GAUGAACGCUGGCGGCGUGCUUAACACAUGCAAGUCGAACGGUGAAGCAGGAGCUUGCUCUUGUGGAUCAGUGGCGAACGGGUGAGUAACACGUGAGCAACCUGCCCCUGACUCUGGGAUAAGCGCUGGAAACGGCGUCUAAUACUGGAUAUGUGAUGUGACCGCAUGGUCUGCAUCUGGAAAGAAUUUCGGUUGGGGAUGGGCUCGCGGCCUAUCAGCGUGUUGGUGAGGGAAUGGCUCACCAAGGCGUCGACGGGUAGCCGGCCUGUGAGGGGGACCGGCCACACUGGGACUGAGACACGGCACAGACUCCUACGGGAGGCAGCAGUGGGGAAUAUUGCACAAUGGGCGGAAGCCUGAUGCAGCAACGCCGCGUGAGGGAUGACGGCCUUCGGGUUGUAAACCUCUUUUAGCAGGGAAGAAGCGAAAGUGACGGUACCUGCAGAAAAAGCACCGGCUAACUACGUGCCAGCCGCCGCCGUAA